rnacentral:rRNA from 1 species
GGAUCCAGACUUUGAUUAUGGCUCAGGAUGAACGCUAGCUACAGGCUUAACACAUGCAAGUCGAGGGGCAUCAGUUUGGUUUGCUUGCAAACCAAAGCUGGCGACCGGCGCACGGGUGAGUAACACGUAUCCAACCUGCCUCAUACUCGGGGAUAGCCUUUCGAAAGAAAGAUUAAUAUCCGAUAGCAUAUAUUUCCCGCAUGGGUUUUAUAUUAAAGAAAUUCGGUAUGAGAUGGGGAUGCGUUCCAUUAGUUUGUUGGCGGGGUAACGGCCCACCAAGACUACGAUGGAUAGGGGUUCUGAGAGGAAGGUCCCCCACAUUGGAACUGAGACACGGUCCAAACUCCUACGGGAGGCAGCAGUGAGGAAUAUUGGUCAAUGGACGCGAGUCUGAACCAGCCAAGUAGCGUGAAGGAUGACUGCCCUAUGGGUUGUAAACUUCUUUUAUAUGGGAAUAAAGUGGUCCACGUGUGGAUUUUUGUAUGUACCAUAUGAAUAAGGAUCGGCUAACUCCGUGCCAGCAGCCGCGGUAAUACGGAGGAUCCGAGCGUUAUCCGGAUUUAUUGGGUUUAAAGGGAGCGUAGGCGGAUUGUUAAGUCAGUUGUGAAAGUUUGCGGCUCAACCGUAAAAUUGCAGUUGAUACUGGCAGUCUUGAGUGCAGUAGAGGUGGGCGGAAUUCGUGGUGUAGCGGUGAAAUGCUUAGAUAUCACGAAGAACUCCGAUUGCGAAGGCAGCUCACUGGAGUGUAACUGACGCUGAUGCUCGAAAGUGUGGGUAUCAAACAGGAUUAGAUACCCUGGUAGUCCACACAGUAAACGAUGAAUACUCGCUGUUUGCGAUAUACAGUAAGCGGCCAAGCGAAAGCAUUAAGUAUUCCACCUGGGGAGUACGCCGGCAACGGUGCAACUCAAAGGAAUUGACGG